GGCUUAGAGUUUGAUCAUGGCUCAGGACGAACGCUGGCGGCGCGCCUAACACAUGCAAGUCGAACGGAGUUGAGAGGAGCUUGCUUUUCUUGACUUAGUGGCGAACGGGUGAGUAACGCGUGAGGAACCUGCCUCAGAGAGGGGGACAACAGUUGGAAACGACUGCUAAUACCGCAUAAGCCCACGGUCUCGCAUGGGACAGAGGGAAAAGGAGCAAUCCGCUUUGAGAUGGCCUCGCGUCCGAUUAGCUAGUUGGUGAGGUAACGGCCCACCAAGGCGACAAUCGGUAGCCGGACUGAGAGGUUGAACGGCCACAUUGGGACUGAGACACGGCCCAGACUCCUACGGGAGGCAGCAGUGGGGAAUAUUGCACAAUGGGGGAAACCCUGAUGCAGCGACGCCGCGUGGAGGAAGAAGGUCUUCGGAUUGUAAACUCCUGUUGUUGGGGAAAAAGAGGAUGGUACCCAACAAGGAAGUGACGGCUAACUACGUGCCAGCAGCCGCGGUAAAACGUAGUCACGAGCGUUGUCCG
rnacentral:rRNA from 1 species